CUUAAAAUAUUUCUACAUUUGAACAUAUCUUGGUCUUUCCUUUUUCUGACUGACAUUUUGUUGUUUAUAUUCCUUAGAAAAGGAUCAAAACCAUUCUUGAUGUUGAAUUUCUGGAACUGUAAUAUUAAAAAAAAAAAGGUCUGACUACCACCCUUAAGAAAAAUAUUUAAGGUCUUAAGAUUGAGAGAAGCCACGCUCAAGAAGCUUCAUCUACCUGGAUCUGAUUUAGAUGAUGAAAUUCUGUACUUAAGCUUGAGCCUAAUGCAGUAAUGGCAUGAAACUAAGAAUUCUGGAAGCAGAGUAAGUGUAUUUUGCUUUUGGGAGAGAAAUUACUUGGAGCUAGAGAUGGUUAAUCUGUGGAUGACCCCCAAUGAACAACACCUUCCAAAAUUCAUGCUCUUAUGUAGUCCCCUCCCAUAUUGGGUCAGGGCUGAGCCUGGGACCUACUUUAACUAACAGAAUGGAGUGAAAGUGACCCUAUGCUAGUACAAAGCCUAAGUCUUAAGAGUACCUGAAGCUUCUGUUUUUGUAUAUUGGAAGCCCUGAGCUGCCACAUAAAAAGUUCAGUUGCCCUGCUAGAAAGACCACAUAGAGAGACCAUAUGAAGAGUUUGCAUGGACAGGGGGAGGAAUAAUCCCUAAGAUUACAGAGAGAGAAACUGAGACAGAGAGAGAGAAGUUGAGAGAGAGGGAGAGAAACAGGCACAUCAAACCAGAUGUCCAUGCAUCCCAAUUGAGCCCAGACCUACGGCUGUUUCCAUAAGGGUAUAAAACACAUAAGUGAGCCAUAAUGAGUGUUCCAGCCCAGUCAAGCUCCUAGAUGACUACAGGACCAGCCAACAUCAAGUGGAGCAAAACAACUACCUACCUAAGCGAAGUCAACCCAUAGAAUCUUGAGAAAUAAUAAAAUGGCUAUUUUAAGCCACUAAAUUUUGGAGUGGUUUGUUAUGGAGCAAUAAAUAAUUCACUUAUGAAAUGAAAACUGAGUAUUUUGGAAGUCAGAUUCAAUAAAGAAAUUAAAAGGCAAACCACAAAAACUAUGAAAAA